rnacentral:rRNA from 1 species
AGACAGAGGUGGCAAGCGUUGUUCGGAUUUACUGGGCUUAAAGGGCGUGUAGGCGUCCUGGUAAGUCAGAUGUGGAAACCUUGGGCUCAACCCAAGAAUUGCAUUUGAUACUGCCGGGAUUGAGUCGUGCAUGGGAGGGCGGAAUUCCUGGUGUAGCGGUGAAAUGCGUAGAUAUCAGGAGGAAGGCCGGUGGCGAAGGUGGCCCUCUGGGCAAUGACUGACGCUGAGGCGCGAAAGCGUGGGGAGCAAACAGGAUUAGAUACCCUAGUAGUCC